AUUGAACGCUGGCGGAAUGCUUUACACAUGCAAGUCGAACGGCAGCACGGACUUCGGUCUGGUGGCGAGUGGCGAACGGGUGAGUAAUAUAUCGGAACGUGCCCAGUCGUGGGGGAUAACGUAGCGAAAGCUACGCUAAUACCGCAUACGAUCUACGGAUGAAAGCGGGGGAUCGCAAGACCUCGCGCGAUUGGAGCGGCCGAUAUCAGAUUAGGUAGUUGGUGAGGUAAAGGCUCACCAAGCCGACGAUCUGUAGCUGGUCUGAGAGGACGCCCAGCCACACUGGGACUGAGAAACGGCCCAGACUCCUACGGGAGGCAGCAGUGGGGAAUUUUGGACAAUGGACGCAAGUCUGAUCCAGCCAUUCCGCGUGCAGGACGAAGGCCUUCGGGUUGUAAACUGCUUUUGUACAGAACGAAAAGGUCUCUAUUAAUACUAGGGGCUCAUGACGGUACUGUAAGAAUAAGCACCGGCUAACUACGUGCCAGCAGCCGCCGUAA
rnacentral:rRNA from 1 species